GAUGAACGCUGGCGGCGUGCCUAAUACAUGCCAGUCGAGCGAACGGACGAGAAGCUUGCUUCUCUGAUGUUAGCGGCGGACGGGUGAGUAACACGUGGAUAACCUACCUAUAAGACUGGGAUAACUUCGGGAAACCGGAGCUAAUACCGGAUAAUAUUUUGAACCGCAUGGUUCAAAAGUAAAAGACGGUCUUGCUGUCACUUAUAGAUGGAUCCGCGCUGCAUUAGCUAGUUGGUAAGGUAACGGCUUACCAAGGCAACGAUGCAUAGCCGACCUGAGAGGGUGAUCGGCCACACUGGAACUGAGACACGGUCCAGACUACUACGGGAGGCAGCAGUAGGGAAUCUUCCGCAAUGGGCGAAAGCCUGACGGAGCAACGCCGCGUGAGUGAUGAAGGUCUUCGGAUCGUAAAACCCUGUUAUUAGGGAAGAACAUAUGUGUAAGUAACUGUGCACAUCUUGACGGUACCUAAUCAGAAAGCCACGGCUAACUACGUG
rnacentral:rRNA from 1 species